UAGAAAUGUACACAUGGAAAAGCUGAACCGGAAUAAUAUCUGCCGGCCCUCUCCCAACCUCCAUGAGUCUGAAGUCCCAAGAGUCAAAGACUGUUGGACAAUUCUUGGGGCUGUAGUGAGGAGGAGGAGUGGACAGGGGAAAUCACUUUCACGACUGCACUGUUAAUCUGGAUGCUCUCCAAUACCCAAAGUGAGUUACAGACAACCUCCCCUCAGUCCGGUGUCCUGAUGAUUAAGCAAGGAGAACAGUUCUAGCAAAACAGAAAAUCAGCAGCAGUAUAGCCCAGAGGGUUCAGCAUUACAGAAUGCAGAGGUAGCAAAGGCACUUCUUCUCCUUAGUUCAAGGGAAAUUUGUCAUGCUCCUUCCCAUAAUGUCUUCAGCCCUGCUGUACAGCGAUCAGAAGAGCCUUGCCGUUCUCAUCCUGGAGGAUCCCCAGUGAGAUGGAUUAUGGAUGCCCAUGGGCAUGUUUUCUCCUGUGUUAAACCAAACGUACUUGUUCCCAAAUAUCCUUAGCUGAAAGAGGAGCAGCCACAGAGGACGUGGAGAAGCACAGCACAGACUGUUGUGUUUGAGUCACCCCAUCCCCUCCGCUUCCCAAUGUGUUGAUGCCCAUAACAGUACAGGAAACGAAAUAUGUCCAUUCUCUUCUUAAAGUGCAUCCAAUAUGCUUAGACACACACUUGAGCAUAAUUAUAUACCCUCCCCCAAAUUUAGAAGCAAGAAACAUAAUAAGCUUCAUCCUUCCUCUAUCGUUUUGGGACCCAUAGUUAGUACAAACUCAGUAACACUUGGAACAGGGAGGGAAGUUGAACCCUGCCUGCUGUGUUCUCCAUGUUAAAGUAGCUGCCAGGAAUGGUGCACAGAGCCCAUGCACACACCCUUUGGUCUCCCUUGAUUUAAAUAAAACACCCCCCUCCUCUCCAGGGGCAGGAUGAGAUUUGUUUUUGUUUCAAUCUUUGCUUUUGUUUCCACUCCCAUGAGGGUGAGAUGGUCACCUCAGCGGCAGGUGGGAAGAGGGACGCAGAGGGUGGAUCAUCACCUCUCAGUCCCCACAGGUGCCACCUUAUUUAUUUCUUUUAUUUAUUUAACAUAUUUAUAUACCACUCACUACUGAAGUCUCUAGGCAGUUUACAGCAAUAAAACAAACCAAGAAGUUUUAAAACAAAACAUAUAACAAGUUCAAAUUAAAAUACCCAUAAAACUACACAAAAGCGAAAAAGCUUGGCUGAAGAGAGGUAUCUUUAGUUGUUUGCUGCCAAUGCCCUUCCUCACUCCACAGGGGCAUGGUGUUCAUUUUCUCAUCCACAUCCCCUGGGGCGUGCCUCUUCCUUCCCUCCCUACCCCACAGCAUGAACUAGGAAUUCCCCUGCCCCCACUGCCUGGUUUGGGACAUAGUUUGAGAGUGCUCAUGUGCUGCCGUAACCAUGGCAGCAUGGCCUGAGAACACCGAGCACCCACCCACAUGUCCUUCACCUCCAGCAACAAAAUGCUUUGGACUACAUGCUUCUUGCACACCAACCCUCCCCUCGGCCUCUCUUGUCUCUAACACCAGAAGAGUUCACCUCAUUUCCUGUUGUAUUUUAUCAUGUUUACUGCUCA